rnacentral:rRNA from 1 species
UUUUAUGGAGAGUUUGAUCCUGGCUCAGAGUGAACGCUGGCGGCGUGCCUAAUACAUGCAAGUCGAACGAUGAAGCUUCUAGCUUGCUAGAAUGCUGAUUAGUGGCGCACGGGUGAGUAACGCAUAGGUCAUGUGCCUCUUAGUUUGGGAUAGCCAUUGGAAACGAUGAUUAAUACCAGAUACUCCCUACGGGGGAAAGAUUUAUCGCUAAGAGAUCAGCCUAUGUCCUAUCAGCUUGUUGGUAAGGUAAUGGCUUACCAAGGCUAUGACGGGUAUCCGGCCUGAGAGGGUGAACGGACACACUGGAACUGAGACACGGUCCAGACUCCUACGGGAGGCAGCAGUAGGGAAUAUUGCUCAAUGGGGGAAACCCUGAAGCAGCAACGCCGCGUGGAGGAUGAAGGUUUUAGGAUUGUAAACUCCUUUUGUUAGAGAAGAUAAUGACGGUAUCUAACGAAUAAGCACCGGCUAACUCCGUGCCAGCAGCCGCGGUAAUACGGAGGGUGCAAGCGUUACUCGGAAUCACUGGGCGUAAAGAGCGCGUAGGCGGGAUAGUCAGUCAGGUGUGAAAUCCUAUGGCUUAACCAUAGAACUGCAUUUGAAACUACUAUUCUAGAGUGUGGGAGAGGUAGGUGGAAUUCUUGGUGUAGGGGUAAAAUCCGUAGAGAUCAAGAGGAAUACUCAUUGCGAAGGCGACCUGCUGGAACAUUACUGACGCUGAUUGCGCGAAAGCGUGGGGAGCAAACAGGAUUAGAUACCCUGGUAGUCCACGCCCUAAACGAUGGAUGCUAGUUGUUGGAGGGCUUAGUCUCUCCAGUAAUGCAGCUAACGCAUUAAGCAUCCCGCCUGGGGAGUACGGUCGCAAGAUUAAAACUCAAAGGAAUAGACGGGGACCCGCACAAGCGGUGGAGCAUGUGGUUUAAUUCGAAGAUACACGAAGAACCUUACCUAGGCUUGACAUUGAGAGAAUCCGCUAGAAAUAGUGGAGUGUCUGGCUUGCCAGACCUUGAAAACAGGUGCUGCACGGCUGUCGUCAGCUCGUGUCGUGAGAUGUUGGGUUAAGUCCCGCAACGAGCGCAACCCCCUUUCUUAGUUGCUAACAGGUUAUGCUGAGAACUCUAAGGAUACUGCCUCCGUAAGGAGGAGGAAGGUGGGGACGACGUCAAGUCAUCAUGGCCCUUACGCCUAGGGCUACACACGUGCUACAAUGGGGUGCACAAAGAGAAGCAAUACUGCGAAGUGGAGCCAAUCUUCAAAACACCUCUCAGUUCGGAUUGUAGGCUGCAACUCGCCUGCAUGAAGCUGGAAUCGCUAGUAAUCGCAAAUCAGCCAUGUUGCGGUGAAUACGUUCCCGGGUCUUGUACUCACCGCCCGUCACACCAUGGGAGUUGUGUUUGCCUUAAGUCAGGAUGCUAAAUUGGCUACUGCCCACGGCACACACAGCGACUGGGGUGAAGUCGUAACAAGGUAACCGUAGGUGAACCUGCGGUUGGAUCACCUCCUUUCUAGA